GAAGCGGGCUGUUCUGGCCGACUCCGGCCCGGACCUCCUCGCCACCGCUGCGCCGCCUCCUAUCUCUGGACUCCUCCACCACCAUGGUCUCCUCUACAUCAUCAUCCUCGCACCAGCAUCCGCCUCUAUGGCCAGGGCACCGACGGGCGAGGCGAGGAAGUCGCACGCGUGGCCAUGGCGAGGCUGCGGGCGAGCGUCAAGACGUCAGCGAGAUUCUUGAGGCGGUUGAUUUCCCCUCUGUCCAGUAGAGGCCGCCUCUGCUCCCCCAUUCCCCGCUCUCCCUCAUCGACAUGGAGGCGCUGAAUCGAGGGUCUACAAGGAUGCCAUGACCUGAGCGCGUUGCAGCGCCGGUGAGUUCCCCAUCCCGGUAAUCUCGUAGGCCAGAUUGAAGCCCGCUGAGGUUGCCCGUCGUCGCAGCCAAUCUCGUCCACUCCAGGGAGGUCGAGCCAGCAUCACCAUGCUUGAUGAUGAUGCGUCGAGAGCUCAAAUACAGAUAGCCAGCCAACCCUGUCUCUUUCACCACAUCUCUAUGUUUCUCUUUUUUCUUUUGAUAUCCUUUCUCUCCUGAAAAAGUCACUUCUACAGAAGCAGCAAACAAUGGAGGAUUUUGGGCUACUUGGGAAUGGUGUAGCAAGCCAUGUCGAACUGACAUCAAGUUUGGGAAAGGAGUGGUCUGCAUCCAGUUGGGUGACACGCAGGUGAUAGCUUCACCAAAAUCGUAUACACAUUCUUGAUCUUGUUUUGUUGUGUUUGGGUUGGCUGAAAAAGAGAAAUGCUCGAGUGAAAAAUACAUGUAUUGUGUUGUGUAACCAUCUUUAUAUUGCGGCUGGAUGCAUGGUACUUGACUGGGCAACUUGAGUGACUAGAAAAAGAAUCUUGAGUGAGCAAGUACUUUACACUUUUCCAGAUUACAUGCCUGUUGUGGUACUGACCUCGUUACAUGGUUGAUUGUUCAUAAUUUCUUAUACAUGUUACCAUGCUUUGACAUUUUGUUUCCAUGCUCCGCUAGGUAAUACCAGUUAGGGGAAUGAACAAGCAUAUGUGUCGAGAGCUCAUGUAGUGUUGUUACAAAUUUCCUGACAUUGACUGAAUUGGCCUAGAAGAAAGGUCGCGCCAAGACUUACUACACCUAUAAUCAUUGGUUUAGAUGCUGAAGAUCUGCGGAAGCAGGUCAAUGGCUCUAAGCAGCCUCCUUCACAAUCUCCUGGGAAUAUGGACAGAGGAAGAAAGCCUACCAGAAUAGCGGUUGCGAGCAUUGUUCAUCCGCUGAUCUAACACUGCCACCUGGUGCUGGCUUUUGCAUAGAUACCCUUCGUGAGGCAAGAUAUUGGUACGCAUUUUCCAGUUGCUGAAACGAAUACAGAUAAUAUAUAUCUGCAAUGUUUACAAAUGGACUCUGACAGAGACAGACUGCUGAUAGGUGGGAUUCCAACUAAAAUGUCAAGCCAUAGGCCAUAGAUAUUCCCUACUUGCAUGUUCUAUGUAACACGCUUGCUUUUCUGUUCCUGAUCUACUGUAUGAAAAACAGGCUUGGCAAAUAACUUGUGAAAUUGUAACCCCUGGACAUCUGAAAUGGUACGAACUGC